UUUCAGUUAGCUACAAAAGCUAUAUUUUCUUCUGGAUUAUAUAAUCUUUACAUAUGAGAUGGCACAAAGAUAUAUGAUAUAACUGAAUUGAGAGUGUAGGCCACUAGUUCACAAAAGCCUCCAAAUUGCAGUUAUAUUGUUUGAGUUCUGCAACGUUAAUUGCAGUGUCACCUGACAAUGAUAUUACGUCUCUUUUUCCUUAAUGUUACAUGUAGUACAUGAUCAUUGUAUUUGUGCUUACUAUACUGAAAGGUGCAAUUACCAUGGAUGUAUUUCUGAAUACCAACUGGGAAGAGUUCUUUAUAACUUGUGCAAAGUGUGACUGGCUGGACAACAAACAUGUGGUCUUUGGGCUAUUGGAGGCGAGGACAUGUUGCUGCAUCUGUUGGCUUCAUAUCUGAUUAGCUCAACGCUAGGGAAAGAAUAAAGUGUGAGUUAGCUGAAUUAAGGCUGAUGUAGACUGUGUAGACGAUGAAUUAAGCCAGAUGAUGAAUUUCGAUGGUUGAUGGAUCUGGAGAAAAGCCACAUGAUGAAUUAAGGCUGUGUAGACGAUGUGAAUGAUGUUUGUUUUUAUUGUAGAUGGUAACUGAACGAGCAUCAGUGGAGUAUUGCAUAUUUGUUCU